UUUUUAUUGGUUCCAUUAAAACAUGUAGAUUUUGAAACUUUUAAAAGGGCUACUUAAGGUCCUCUCACAUGCCUAAUAAAUUGAUCAGUUAUGCAACAGCGAUUUUCACUUGCGGUGCAUGUAGUCCAUUAGAAGAUUUUUAUGGAUGAAGUUGACGUUGAGGAAUUUACAGUUUUAGGGGUCAAACGUGUUUGGGCAUGGUACAGAUUGCCCAGUGUGAGUACACCCUAAGUAGCCAGAGAGACUUCCCACUGGUCUGAGUAAUUGUAAACAGUAACAUGUAUCACCAAAAAGAAUUUUAAAAAAUUAUACAGAGUGGCAAGAAAAAUGGAAUAAUAAAUGGAACAAAAACACCGCAGGAGAUGGUCCAAUAAUUAGAUGACAGAGAGUGACACGGUCUUGAAUCGUCAAGUACACUUUACAACAUGGGUCAAGAUGCUCGUCUAAACGAUUAUAUUAAUUUAAACAUUAGCUGCCUUUCCACCUUCGAACCAGUGGCAAAAGCACGCUGUUCCAUGCCAAGGUGGUCCCGCUGUCAUGGUUACAAAACUUUUAGGGGCAGUUUCAUUUUGUUUAAAGCUAGGGCAGGCAAUUUCAGAAAGAGUAGCAAUUGCAAGCUAGCUUUGAAAGCAUAAGAUCCCACUCUCCCUUCAGAGCUCUCUCUCCAAAGCGAGUGCAACACUUUCAGAUUACCUCAUGUGUCAUUCACCGGUGAGACAUUACACAAUAAUAAUAACGAACGUGAACAACGUAUUUCCGUUUAUAAUGGUUAAAAAAGAUCAAAACAUCAACAUAUUUUGCUAUAAUAUAAUGUUAUAAGUUAUUUAAAAUAAAUAAAUAAAAGGGUUUAACCAGUGCCCGGAGUGAGAAUAGUAUACCUCCCAAUUUUGUAGUCUGGAUAUAUCUUCUUCUUUGGUUUUCUCUUAUCGAGAUUCUUCAUUGGCUCUUCGCCACAGCUCAAUAUAGCAGUUGUUCGGUAAUCAUGGUUGUGACUAGGGCUGCAACUAACGAUUAAACGAUUAUUUUCACAAUCUACUAGUUUGCCAAUUUAAAAAAAAAAAAUUCUCGAUUAAUCAGAUGGGGCAGGGCAAAUUUCCAGUACCCUUUUUUUCCCAUUUAUUUAAAAUUAAAAUCCACACACUGAGUGUUACAAAUAUUAACUUAAGACUAAAACAUUACACAACCAUUUGUCCAAUUAUAUAAGACUGAAAAGAACCCAAUACACACACCAGAAUAUAUAUUAUUCAUUUAGGACUGUAGUUUAAUUCUGUGCCUUUUAUUGCAUCUAUAAAAACUUAUAUAUAUAUA
ensembl:lncRNA